GGGGGCAAACUUUGAAAUUCAAAAUUCAAAUCAAACAAGAUGAUAUACCACUUCUCUCUCAUUAUUCUUUCUUCUACAUUUAACUCUUCACUCUCCUCCUUUUGCUUAUUCAUAUUUUGUGAUAUCCUCCAUUUUACUAAUAUUCAUUUUUUUGUGUUUUGCAGAAAAAGUAUAAGACAUUCAUCUCUAUCCAACAACAAGAAUUACUCAUCUCUACCAACAACAACAACAACAACAACGCGGCCGAAUAAGUAUACGAAGAUUAAACUCACGUAUGAAGAUCUCCUUGCCAUUUUGUUGUUGCGGCGGCUAGGGUUUGAUGAAGGAGAAGAGAGAAUUUGGUGAAAAAUAUAUGAAGGUUAUACCAACCAUGUAUUCACAAGAUAUUUACAAAAUAGAAGGAUUUCAUUUUCCGGCACGGUGGAUGCAAUUUCCGGCACGGUGGUCACCGGUAAAAGUAGUCCGAUCUUGAUUUUUACUUUGUGGGUUUUGUAGAGAAUAUCGAUGAGAGUCUUUUUAUGAUGAUGAUUUUUUUGAAGGUUAUCUAUGGUGGUGGAGAUCUAGACGAAAAGGUGGACGGUUGGAGAAAUAUAACAGAAAAAAAAAAUCGGUGGAAGGAAGAUAACUUGAGAAGUUCAAAUAUGCAUAUUGUCUAAAAGGAGCAUGUGCCGGAGCAAUGGUGGAAGUUGGCGGCGGCUAGGGUUUGUUGGAGAGGAAGAGAGUUUCUCAAAGAAAUGUUUGUUAAGAGAGAGAAGGAAAAUUAUUAAAUGGGUGUUUGAAGUUAAAAGUGAAAAAAAUAGAUUCCUCAUUGGUCUACCACAAGAGAAGAAUGAUUAUUUUUUUAUUUUUUAUUUGUAAUAAAAGAUUGGGAAAAGUUUUAAUUGUUA